CUGAGCGCUCUCUGUCCAGCUCCCUCGCGUGUCGCUUACUGAUGCCGGAGCCGGAAUAUGAUGUCAUAUUCCGGCUCCGGGAUCAGUGCGGUGCGCGAGGGAGCUGGGUAGAGAGCACUCAG